rnacentral:rRNA from 1 species
AUGGAACGAGAGGAUUGCUUCCAUGCUCUGUGUAGGUGCACCCUAGCGAAGGAGUUGUGGCAUGCCAUGGCUAGGGACUGGAAUAUCUCAAGAGUGGAGGAGGUGGUGAACACGGGGUCGGAGUGGCUCUUCUCACUCCUGGAGCCGCUUGAUGAGGACACACGCAUGAUUGUCCUGAUGACGUUGUGGCGUGUAUGGCACGUCCGCAACGAGAUCACCCACGAGAAGAAGCCUCCACCAACCGAAGCAUCCAGGCGAUUCCUCCAGGGCUACAUCAACUCCUUGCUGUGCAUCAAGCAACACCCUAAAGCUGACAUGGAGAAGGGGAAGAUGGUCGUCCUAGGGCCUCAGCAGUGCUCCGCUGCUCGUGCGGCUCCGAAGGAGGACAGGAGAUGGAUACCACCUGGGAGGGCGAGCACCAAACUGAACACCGACGGGAGCUAUGUCCCGGCGACAGGCGCAUCAGGUGGAGGGAUGAUCCUCCGUGAUGAUCCUCCGUGA